rnacentral:rRNA from 1 species
UACGGGGGGGGGCAAGCGUUGUUCGGAAUUACUGGGCGUAAAGGCUCGUAGGCGGCCAACUAAGUCAGACGUGAAAUCCCCAGCUUAACCUGGGAACUGCGUCUGAUACUGGAUGGCUUGAAUUCGGGAGAGGGAUGCAGAAUUCCAGGUGUAGCGGUGAAAUGCGUAGAUAUCUGGAGGAAUACCGGUGGCGAAGGCGGCAUCCUGGACCGACAUUGACGCUGAUGAGCGAAAGCUAGGGGAGCAAACGGG